GGUCGGUGAUGAUAAGUAAAAGGUCUGAUUGCUCCAGGGCACGUUCCCAGCACCUUCGCUCCCAGAAGCCCCCGUGCAUUUCCCAUGCUGCUCUAGCUGUGCUGCGAUGGCAACCGGGGGACUUCUGACAAUAACUGAUGCAGCUGCUUCAGUCCAUGUUUCAGAGAGAGAUUUGGAUCACGUUCACAGCGGCAUCUGACAAGAGCUGUCACUCGGGGCACCGGGUGCUGAGGGCAACUCUGGUGCAUGACUGCAAACCACAAGCUGAGACC
ensembl:scaRNA